rnacentral:lncRNA from 1 species
UCACACCUCCGUGAGCGGCCUCGGGCUCGCGGUUGAGGCUGAUUGAGGAAGUGGGUUCAGGCGGCCCGCCGUGCCUGGCACACGGUCAGAGUCCCGUCGGAAUUUAACAAUCAGGCACUUUUGAGAAGACUGUUGAUAAGGCACCUGGGAGACACUGAAGAGGCCACACAGGACUUUGUUAGGCCCCCACAGCCAAAAUGAUCUGCAAAUGUUGGGCAUGUCACUGCAAAUGCAACCAAAACUUUUUCUCCUGUAAUGCAAAAUCAUGGAUUCCUGCUCCUGGGAUGUGGAAUCAUUCUUAGGGGCUGCCUAUGUGAGGUGGGAGCUGGAGAUGGUUCCAGGUCAGGGAGGCUAAGAGGAUCAAUGGCAUGCCCCACUACUUGCUGGCUGUGCGGCCUGAGACAAGCUGACAGGACUUUCCCCUUUCUCUGAGAUGACAAUCAGGCCGCUUUGCUUUGCACUGCCCUCAGAGAAGCAGUGUGCCCAGAAGUCAAGUGUGAGCUCUUGAGUCAAAAUGCUUGGAUUUGAAUUCCAACUCUGCUGCUUACCAGCUGUGUGACAUGGGGUGAGUGAGUUACCUGACCUCUCUGUACCUCUAUGUCAUCAUCUUUAAAAUGGAGCCCACAGCAACCAGGGAAAUAGUCUAACAGAAGCCUAGGAUGAAGAAUUUCGGGAAAGAAGAAACGUCCAGCAAGGCCAAGUCCCUUUGUGUGUCAGUCUGCUUUCUCUCUCACACAUACGUGCACACAGGCUCGUACACACAAAGAUGUUAAGCAAAAUAUAAAGCCCCUCCACUGAU